AAAGUCGUAACAAGGUUUCCGUAGGUGAACCUGCGGAAGGAUCAUUACAAAUCCAUCCACGUCUCAUUCCUUGAGACCACGUUGAAAUGUUCCCUAGUGCGUGUCUCCGUCUCCCUUGACCGUGUCGACGUUUGUCGGUGCGUCCAGGGGCGUCGGCAGUACACACACUAGGCUUGUAAACUAGUAUUAUCUGUUGCUCAAUUGUAUCUUUCUUGAUUGUAAUGAUCAGGGUAAACAAAGUACAACUUAUAACAAUGGAUCUCUAGGCUCUU
rnacentral:misc_RNA from 1 species